GGCUGCAUGUACCUCGGCAUGGCUGGCACACACAGCAGCCACAGCAUCAAUCACCCUAACACCAAAACUGGGCAAGGAUAUGGGGAAGGGAUGGGCCAUCAAGAGCCAUCAGGAGCCGGCUGUUCCCUCCUGGGCUUCUCUUUGACUUUCUUACCCGCACACAGAAAGAAACUUUCCUGCCACGAUACCACUUCAGCUGCACUGCAAAGGCAGAAAUCUUGGAUUGACUGACCUGAAACCAGUGGAGACGAGGAAAACCUCUGAGGAGCUGGCAGCUCUCACUUUGACGUACAGAACGGAGACUGGCACCCAGGAGUGGUCGUACGGACAUCAGAGGGGUGCCCACUUCGAGUCAUCCCCCCACCUGAAAUCAGGGCUCCCACUGUGACCAGCAUGACAGUGACUCCCAAUGGACAUUACCAAACCAGCAUCGCUGCUGAAUUUCCAGGCAAAGAUGUGGGACCCUGAGCUUCGGUACCAUUUUUGGAAGUGAGAGAAAAUUUUAUUCCGAGUCAUGGAGAGGAACUCCAGACAAUCCAGAGCUGCCCAGGUGUAACAACAGCAACAACAACAACAAGCCUCUUCCAGAUUUUACAGAUGAUUGAUUUUAGUAUUUCUUGGCAUUGAAAACCAUGAGCGGCUGCUCAUCACAUUACCCUUGCUAAUCAGAAAGGCACCACAGCAGCACUGUGGCUGGUGGCACCGGAGGUUUGCUGGCACUUGAAAGCAGGAGAACCCAAGGGACCCAGCAGAGAAGUCAACACUUUCAUGACAGGGAGCUUGCUAAAAAUAAGUGGUUGUACACAUUCUCAGAGAUCUAGGCCUAGUUGUGAAUGAUUCAUGCACAUGGAAAGGAGCCAGAUUUGCUGGAUGCAUUAGGUUGCAAUGAGCUCACGAACUGCACUCCCCAUGCUGAAUGGUGCAAACAUAAACUGCAGAACAGAUACGGGUGGAAAUAAAUUGAUACCAUUUUUACUCUGAGAGACUGUGGAACGUUUAGGAUGUUUGAUAAUAAUUUCUAUGCUACUGUGGAACUUAUAGACAGUCUUAACACAAGUCUAGAAACCAGAACUAAAGCAGAAGAUAAAACAGCAGAAGACCCUUCAUUACUGAAUAUGUUUAAGUUGUA